AUUGAACGCUGGCGGCAGGCCUAACACAUGCAAGUCGAGCGGAUGAAGGGAGCUUGCUCCUGGAUUCAGCGGCGGACGGGUGAGUAAUGCCUAGGAAUCUGCCUGGUAGUGGGGGAUAACGUCCGGAAACGGGCGCUAAUACCGCAUACGUCCUGAGGGAGAAAGAGGGGGAUCUUCGGACCCCACGCUAUCAGAGGAGCCUAGGUCGGAUUAGCUAGUUGGUGGGGUAAAGGCCUACCAAGGCGGCGAUCCGUAACUGGUCUGAGAGGAUGAACAGUCACCCUGCAACUGAGGCACGGUCCCGACUCCUACGGGGGGCAGCAGUGCGGACUAUCGCACGAUGGGCCAGUGCCUGAUCCUGCCCUGCCGCGUGUGUUAAGAAGGUCUUCGGAUUCUAGAGCACUUUAAGUUGGGAGGAAGGAAAGUAAGUUAAUCCCUUACUGUUUUGACGUUACCAACAGAAUAAGCACCGGCUAACUUCGUG
rnacentral:rRNA from 1 species